GGGGAUAUAGCUCAGUUGGUAGAGCUCCGCUCUUGCAUUGGGGUCGUUUGCGAUUGGCGGAUGUCAGCGGUUCGAGUCCGCUUAUCUCCA
rnacentral:tRNA from 1 species